GACGAACGCUGGCGGCGUGCCUAACACAUGCAAGUCGAGCGGGGACUUAAUCAUGAAGUUUUCGGAUGGAUUGGUUAAGUUCUAGCGGCGGACGGGUGAGUAACGCGUGAGCAACCUGCCUAUCACUGGGGAAUAACGCAGCGAAAGUUGUGCUAAUACCGCAUGAGACCACAGAGGGACAUCCCUUAGGGGUCAAAGAUUUUAUCGGUGAUAGAUGGGCUCGCGUCUGAUUAGCUAGUUGGUGAGGUAACGGCCCACCAAGGCGACGAUCAGUAGUCGACCUGAGAGGGUGAUCGGCCACAUUGGAACUGAGAAACGGUCCAA
rnacentral:rRNA from 1 species